AUAAAUACUGAAAGGAAGAAACCUCUCUCCUCUCAGCAGAUAGGGCCUGCAAGACUGAAAAAUGAAGGUGACUGUGAGAGCUGUGAUGAACCUGUUUGGACAACAGACAGCACAAAUACCUGUCUCAGUGGAGGAGUUUAAGAGCACUGCAGAGAUCCUCAGACAGUGCAGAGUCUCUUGGCUUACACAGGCCACUGUCUUUCUCUCUAAACAAUACCAGCCAAGUUUCCUCUGUACAACUGAAGAGCUGCAGGAACAGAAGGACAGUAACUAAUACAGCUUUUAAAUUUCAAUCUUCUGGACUUAUUAGGAAAAAAAUAAUAAUUAAAAAAAAGAAAGAAAGAAAGAAAGAAGAGAAAUAAGGAAAAGGAAAAGAAAAAUACAUGAAUUCUAAGGAAAAUGAGGGACUUGAUUCCAAGGAAGAAAACUAUACACGGCAGCUUGAAGCUACAGGGGCAGUCCUGCCUGUUUUUCCUCCAACCAGCUACUUUACUUCAGGCCCUUUGAAACCAGCAAUUCCCGUGGAUCAGCACUUAAAGCGGAUUUGCUGACAGAGCCGCGAAGUUGCCAGAGAUCCUCCCUGUGGCCAGCCUACGCCGAUGUCCCUGGGGAGCCCCGCACUGAGAGCCGCAGACCUCCGGGUGUGACGCAGUGGAUGAUUGAUUGUACCCGCCAGCUGGCUAAUAUCAUAAUUAACAAAGUUGCUACCAUGUCUGAGAAGUUUAAUCGAAAAAAUUGCCGGCAGUAUGAUGCCAUUGUCACAGAGAUCACAAGCACUGCAGUGUUGACUUUUGUACUGGUGGAGCCGCAGGACUAUGUAGAUGUGCAGAGAAGUCGUUCGCUGGGAUAACUAAAGUGAGCUGUGCUUGCAGACGGCGUGACUGGGCUCUGCUGGAGCUGGCCAGUGGCAUCCUGCCUCCACUCUGCUCAUCACCGCUACAGCAGCCAUACUGCGGGAACGCCAAACCUGGGAGCAGCUGCCUGAAACAACUCCUCGCAUGCAGGGAUGUCAGCAGAAGCACAUGGAAGCACAUCAGCAAGGUUUAGCUGAUGGAUCACGUUGUAAAAUCUGCAGCCAUGAAAGGCCCUCCAUUUAUUGCACCCUUCAAAACGAAAUAUUAGCAUGGGAGGCUAAGCUGGGUGUUAUGGAGUAGUGACUUCAAGUUCUGGUUCACAAGUAAAUCCAUGUCAGUACAAGGAGAGCUGUCGAUGAGAAAUGGAGGCUAAUAACGAAGGAGUCAGUGAAGGAGACCAAUGCCACAAGGGUUAUCUCGCAGCCCCAGAUGCUGGAUAAGUUGGAGGAGGCAGAAUCGCUUUUGGAUGACAUUCAGGAAGGCCUUGAAUGAUUAUUUGGUGAAGAAAAGACUGUUCUUUUCAAGGUUUCUCUCUCAAUGCAGCAAUGAUCUCUCAGGAAUCCUUUCUGAGACAAAGGAUCCACUCCAUGUCCAACCACACCUAAAGAAAUGCUUUGAAGGAAUUGCCAAGCUCACUUUUAAUCAUGAGAAAGAAAUUACCCACAUGGAGUCAGCAGAAAAUGAAAAAGUAGAGCUCGUGCUGCGAAUAAUUCCAGCAAGUGCCAAGGGGCUAGUUGAGCAAUGGCUUCAUGAGGUGAAUAUCUUUAGCUCUUACUUAGGGUUUAGUUACUGUAUAAUCAUUUUCUCUUUUAGGAGCAAUGAAUAUCAUAAGCAUAUUUCCUAACUAAACAGCUCUCUGAAUAUUUGUCAAGAUGUUGACAGAUUUCAGCCUUAUUGUUGUUAUUUAUUGCAGCUAAUUUAGCAACUGCAAAUGUGCAAAAAUUAAUUUUAAUGAAAAGCUCUCAGAGUCAGGCUGUCAGCAGAAGUGGGUCUGUGUCUGAAACCAUGUAUGUGAAUAUAUGUCCGAGUCUACAUGUAUGUGUUUUUGUGCUUUCAUGGUGUAAUGUCUGUAGCUGAUGAGGAAAACAUUUUUUAAACAAUCGCAGAAAUGUAAGAUUUCAAAUGCUUCCACCCUGUAGAAAUGUAUCCCAUUGUGUUGGAGGGGUUUAAUUUCCAAUACAUUUUAACAAAAGGGAAGAGAAAAUACGUCACUGAUAACAUCCUAACCUUUCCCUUCAGGCCGCUAAUCCAAAUUCAUUGGUUUCAGCAAGAAAUUAGUUUCGUGACCUUUUUUUGUUGUUGUUGUUCACUUUAUUUAACCUUCCUCUGCCAGAGGAUAGGAACUGGCCCUUUUCUUGUUUUUCUUUUCUGGGCCAAAAAAAAAAAACCUUCCCCUUCCUCUUUGUCUCCCUUUCUUGUGGGGCAGGAUCAGCCCUGGGUACACAGGGGCUGCCAGCCAGCAGGACGGAGCAGCUGCGGGAGUGCUAUUUCCAUUCCCAGAUAAUUCGGCUGACACCCUGCGUGCAGAGGGGCAGCAAAGUCCCGUGCGGGUAGUGGGUUGGAGGGGUUUGGCCCCAUUAUGUGUCACAUUUUUGCUGACUGGGUGAGCAAAGCUGAGCCCUCAAGCCCUCUCGUGUGUCCCUGUUGCCCACUGUGUUGAGCCACAACAACAUGCUAGGUUGGGCCAAGCCCCUUUUUACAGCAACUACAUCACAUUUGAGGUGGUCCCACAACAGCAUUCUUUGGGGUAAGGCAGGGAGGAAAACACGUCAGGAUUUAGACAAACACAAAUGCUCCCCACCCUGUUCUCUGUGUCAAAUGACUAGCUUGAUUUUUUUUGGACUAGUUUUCAGCACAAAUUUUUUUUCCGUGGGGGUGGGGAAGCUACAUUGCAUAAGUGGCAGUUCUGAGGAGCUCAGGAAAAGCCUAAAUUCUAUUACACUAAGCCUGCAAUAUGCUUUUUAGUUUUUACCUUCUCCCACAAAUGAAAGAUGUUUGGAGAGUUGAGCAGCUGUGUUUAUUUUAACACAUCUCAUUUAACCUUCACCUAAAAACAAAUUGGAAGGUUUGGGAGUGCAUUAAUCUGGACCCAAUUAGUGUCUCUUUCUCUCUCAAAAGUGCAACCUGAGAUUAAUGAAUAUAAACUAGAGUUUCAUAUGCAGUCUUUAAAUCAUUUGCAUGUUUUAUGCAUGAUAAUUGAAUUUAUUUAUGCACUUCCUUUCAUUUAGUGAUUUCUUGCUCUUUUCUAUGCUAUCAACAUUAUAUUAUGCAAGAAACAGGAUUAUGGUAGGCAAGAAAGGAUAGCAGUAUAUAAAUCAAACCUGAUUUAAUUUUUAGUUCUAGCGUCAACAGUACAUCAGAAUUAAUAUUGGUAUCAUGCCAGUGAAGUACAUGGCCAGGAAAAUGUAAAAUAUUUUUGGUAAAGUAGAGGCUUUUAGAUUAAGAAGACAUUUCUGAUGCAGUUUAGUUUGCUUGCAAGUGUAUAAGCAAAAUUAUUUUCAAAUGGCAGUUAAAUUAUUGUAUUGACUUUUCAAUGACCGUAGAGACUUGUGUUUCAACUUGGCCAAUUAGUAGUAAUAAGAAGAUGAAUGGUAAUUACAUUAAUAAAUAACUGUUUUCAGACCAGGACUCAGUAUCAUAGUCUGGCUAAGAAAAUAAGGGCAUUUUAUAAUUUGUCUCAUUUGGUCUUUGAUCAGGAGAAAAAGGACUUUGGAACUAUAGUAAAUCUUUCAUAGCCCAGAAUGUAGCAGUCCUAGGGACUAGUGAGCCAUAUUAGCUAGCAGCUCUGUGGUAGUAGCUGUUUCAGUGCCAUAGGUAGGGAAUUUUGCUUUGUUUCUUCACUUAAGCCCAGAUGUCUUAAAGAUUGCUUAGUGAUGGUCUCUGCAUUUGUUAUAAUGCAUGCCAGGAAGCUACUAUGGCAAAGAGUUUUAAUAAGAUGCUGGUAGUGGUGCUUUCAAAGCUUUAACCUAUACCAGUUUCUUUUUUGUCUCUCGUCUUUCCUUAUGUGUUGAAAGAUGUAUGUGGAAGUGAUAUUUUUCUGUGGUGUCCUGUCUUUUAUCAGUGGAUUAAAUGGCUGUGUGUUGUGAUUGUUUCCUGAUUCUCGUAGGUAGGAAUGUGUUUAAAGGCUAAAGCUCUGUUAAUUUGUGAUGUAACCAUUUCAGUGUGUUUCUUGUCAUUGAAAUGUAGUUUAAAAUGUUCAGUAAUGUGGCAUGAAAUUAUUGGUUAGUUUUGGAAUGGUGGUGAAAUCAUGUGAAGAAAAUAAGUAUUGCAUCUGAUCAAGAUAAAUUCACUCUAGUGUUU